CCAUCGACCAGACACUUGCUGCCCUCUGACUAGAAGAGAUUAGUAACCUUUAAGCCUUCUGUUCCAGCAAUCCCAGAAAGUCAAGUUCUCCUGGGCUUCUGUCCAUGCAGCCAAUGACAAAAGCACUCAUAAGGAACUUUGUCAAAUACCAAAUCAAGCAUCAAGAUGAAAACAGAACAUGCAAUCAUCAGUCCCACGUGCUCCAUUUACUGUGCGGAUGUGAGAGGCAGCUGUCAGGAAGCCAGAAGAAUAUUGGUCACGCGCAUGUUGAGCAGCAGUAACCUGUGAAAACGCAAGUGUAUCCGGAACUUGAGCUACCACAUUCAAAAGCAAUGAGGAAAAUAGACCUGCUGCACCACCAAGUGGGGUCGACACUGACUGUACAGCUGAAUGGAUGCAGGGUCGCCUGAGAGACAAACCACUGGACGCCUCUAUGAGAGAUUAUGUUGACUGACUUUGCCGACAAGCAUGUCUAUGUGGAAUCAUCCAGUCUAGGUUAAUUGGGGUGGGAAGACCCACUCUGAAUGGGGAAAAUUCUCUAGGUGCUGGAGUCCUGAAUUGUGAGCAAAGGAGAAAGUGAGCUGAGCAGGAUUCAUUGUUCUCUGGUUCCUGAUUGAAGACACAGUGUGAGCUUCAACCUUACAGUCCUAUCUCCUCAGCUUCACGCCUUCACAGACUUCCUGUCAAACUAUCAGACAAAGUAAGCCCCCUUUCCUUAAACUGCUCUUGUCAGGGCAUUUUACAAUAGCGAUAAGAUAGUAAGUAAUGCACCAACGUGUCUAAUAGUACUACCACCCACUUGUACUCAACAACGCCCGGUUUUUCUAUUGGAUACAUGAUAGGCAAUCCACUUAUGGCAAACCACAUAGAACUGCAGCCUUCCUGCUGAAAUCUUCACGUAAUCCAGCGUGGAGAUAAAGCUCUAACCAUAUUCUGUGAAGCAGUUAGCAGUGCAGAGAAGUCUGAAGAUCUGAAGCACUGUGGAAGCCACUCCCAGAGAAUUUGUUACACAUGGGUAAACAAUUUGGCAGUCAAUUACAGGACUUCUCAAAUAUUCUGAAGAUCUUCUAUGAAACCUGUUUUAAAAUCUGUUAGAAAAGAUAUGAUUGAAUGAAAACUUACAUUUUCAGAAAGAUAUGAGUGAUAGGAAAUAUGAUCACUGUUUUUAGAUAGAUGAAAUACUGUCAUUUAAAAAAGACAAUAGGCCUGUCGCUAUGGCUCCUGAGUGAAAUCACAAAGGCAGCUCAUUAUGAUAAACCGAGAGGUAGAUGUUUUGAAAAGAGGUUUCAGACGAUGAGUUCAGUCUCUUUAAAGUGGUAGUAGGCUCACUGUUGGAAGAGGUACUUAAAGAAUGGGAUGCAUUGUUAGAAUGCUACAGAUUGAAUUGUCUAUAACAAUCUGACAUUUUUGUGAAAAACAAAUGAAAAACCUCCUAUAAGUACAAUUUAUGUAGCUAUGAAAAUCUUCAAUGUUGCAAUCUCUGAAAUCCCCAGAACAUAAUAACAAUAGCAGCAUUAAAUAAUAAUAUUAGAUGAAACAGAAAAAAAAGUGGGAAAAUGUGGCCGUUGGAGUAAAAAAUAUGACUGAUGUUACCCAAGUGUUAGGAUUACAAAAUAUGUGAAGGUUCUUUCAGGCAGUUACAACAAAUACAAAAGUGAACUCUGAGGAAUGUGAAAUCAUAACCCAUUAUAUAAUGCAAACACAUGAUGAUUACAUUAAACAAAACACUGGUUUAACUGGUGGCUGAUUUCUCAAUGCAAAAAAGAGAUUAGAAGAUGAAACACCAUUUGUAAGGAUAAGUCUUCAUUGCCAAGUUGUUUGGUAGCAGAAGAACCUCUGGGAGAGUUUGCAGAGCCUGACAUACAGUAAAUGUGAAUGCACUGUGCAGUGCCCUGGGUCCUGGACAAACAGGAAAGGAAUGACAGAGAAGGGAUUGAGUAGUAACAUUCAUCACUCUCCUUCCAAAAGAGAGGCUGCCUCACUCCUUUCUGCCACAGUGAGAGUCGCUUCAGCCUCCAUGCCUCUCGUACUUUAAGUUGCUUCUUUUCAUUUAUUUUUUAUUCACUUUUUAUCCUGGUUGUAGCUCCAUCCCUUCUCCUCUCCCAAUAUCAUUCUCCCUCCUUCUCUCCACCUCCCAUUUUCCUCUUAAAGGGGUGGUCCCUUUCCCACCCAUCCCAGCUCAUCAAGUCACAUCAGGACUGAGGAUGUCUUCUUUCCCUGUGGCCUGGCAAGGCAGUCUUCCAGUGGAAAAGUGAUCAAAAAGCUGAUAAAACAGGGCCAGACUAAAGGGGAGAAGGUCCUCCCCAAUCUGUGGACUUGGAAAGGGGCAGGGAGAAACUGAGGGAGGGAGGGUGGGAUUGCGAGGGAAUAAUGGAGCGGGAUACAGCUGGGAUACAGAGUUAAUAAAAUGUAACUAACAAUAACAAACAAACAAAUAAGCUGGCAAGUUAAUUCAUGUCAGAUAGAGACAGUGACUUAUACUUCAUGUUCUAAGGGAGAUACAACAUAUUCAAACAACAAUCUUAUAUAAGACAAAUAUAUGGGUGCAAAAUCAAGGAAGCAGGCAGAAGCACCAUGUAGGCCAGAGAGAAACUGAGGGCCAGUCUGUCCUGGGUGGCAGAGGCUAGGAAGGAAAUCCACCUGUCAAGGUUUAGUGAAAGUCCAGAAAGAGAUCCUGGCAGUAGAAGGUUCAGGGUUCGGCCUCUGUAGCCAAGCAGGGUAAGAGUGUCCUAUGAUGUUUAAGGUUCAAAAACCAUCCAGGCCUAGACAGACAUGUCAUGUCAGAAGUGCCCUGGCAACCUGAGCUCCUGAAAUCCUGAGGGUGACUCCUUUGGAGAACCGCAUUACAUGGCAGUGUUAGUGGGGCCAUGUGCAGCAGAAACCUAAAACAAGAGCUAGAGAAGGCUGAAGGCCACUCCAGUCUACUUAGCAAGGACAUGGCAAUUCACAGAAGAUGAUCUUUGUUCUUAUAGGGACAGACACAAGAAGAUUUGAAAGAUCAGUUGCUUAAACCAGGAAAUAUCAUUGAUUGUACACUAAAAGAUAUGGAGCCCUUCAAUGAAGAUUCAAGAGAGUUUGGAUUUAUCCUCUCCACUAAUACUGUAAAUGUGGGAAAGUCCAAAACUAUGAGGAUGGGCUCACGGCCAGGCCAUUCACUCUAAAUUGGCCAUGACUAUGAAGAAAGAUUCUGUGAAGAAAAUCCUUCCUGGGGGAUCUGAAUCUUUUUUUUUUAAUUAUACUUUAUUUGCUUUGUAUCUCCCCUCUAGUUCCCUCCCUCCUCCCCUCCUAGUCCUUCCCUUCCUCCCCCUUCUCCACACACUCCCCUCCCCAAGCCCACUGGUAGGGGAGGGUUUCUAUUUCUUCCUUCUGAUCCUAGUCUGUUAGGUCUCAUCAAAAGUGGCUGCAUUGUCCUCUACUAUGGCAGGGUAAGGUUGCUCACCCCCAGGGGGAGGUGAUCAAAGAGCAGGCCAGUCAGAUUAUGUCAGAGGCAGUCCCUCUUCCCAUUACUAUGUAACCCACUUGGACACUAAACUGCCAUGGGCUACAUCUGUGUAGGAGUUCUAGGUUAUCUCCAUGCCUGGUACUUGCUUGGAGUAUGAGUCUCAGGGAAGACCCCUGUGCUCAAAUUUUUUGGUUCUGUUGCUCUCCUUCUCAACCUCCUGUCCUCUCCAGAUCUAACUAUUAUUUCCCACUUCUUUCAUAAGAUUCCCUGCAUUCUGCCCAACGUUUGGCCAUAAGACUCAACAUCUGCUUUGAUAGCCUUCAGAGGCCCUCUGUGGGAGGCUGCUAACUUGUUUCCUGUUUUCUUCUUCUUCUGGUAUCCAUCCUCUUUGCUUUUCAGAGUGGGGAUUGAGCAUUUUAGCCAGAGUCCUCCCUCUUGAUUAGUAUCUUUAGGUGCACAGAUUUUAAUAGGUUUUUCCUAUAUUAUAUGUUUAUAUGAGUGAGUAUAUACCAUGUGUGUCUUUUUGCUUCUGGGAUAGCUCACUCAGGAUGAUCCUUUCCAGAUCCUACCAUUCACCUGCAAAUUUCAUGAUUUCCUUGUUUUUCAUUGCUGAAUAAUAUUCCGUUGUGUAGAUGUACCACAAUUUCUGUAUCCAUUUUUCAGUUGAAGGGCAUGUGGGUUGUUUCCAGCUUCUGGCUAUUACAAAUA